rnacentral:rRNA from 1 species
UUCGGAGGAUCCAAGCGUUAUCCGGAUUUAUUGGGUUUAAAGGGUGCGUAGGCGGCCUAUUAAGUCAGGGGUGAAAGACGGUAGCUUAACUAUCGCAGUGCCUUUGAUACUGAUGGGCUUGAAUACACUAGAGGUAGGCGGAAUGUGACAAGUAGCGGUGAAAUGCAUAGAUAUGUCACAGAACACCAAUUGCGAAGGCAGCUUACUAUGGUGCAAUUGACGCUGAGGCACGAAAGCGUGGGGAUCAAACAGG